AGAAAAGUGAAAGACAAUGGAAGGCAAGUAAUAUCUUUUUAGGCCUCUCACUGUUGUGGCCUCUCCCGUUGCGGAGCACAGGCUCAUCGGCCAUGACUCACGGGCCCAGCCGUUCCGCGGCAUGUGGGAUCUUCCCAGACCGGGGCACGAACCCGUGUCCCCUGCAUCGGCAGGCGGAUUCUCAACCACUGCGCCACCAGGGGAAAUCUGACACAGCUAGAAAGCAAUGGAAAACGCUAAGGGUUGCAUCAGUUGUUGAAGAGGAACUAAUCAUAUCAUGGAGAUAAAAAUGAUCUCUUUAAAGGGGAUUAGAAAAGCUGGUCAUUUAAAGAACAUGGGAGACACUGUGAGACUUCUGGGCCGUAAGAGGACUUCCAGUUCUUUUGGAGAGCCAGCAACCUGCAUGUAACUAAGACUGCUGAAUGAGGAGUGACCACAUGGAGAGAGAGGCACUUGGAGGAGAAGGGAGGUCCCUCAGCCAUCGAUGCGCCAAGCACGUGAGUGAGGCCAUCUUGCAUCUUCCAGCUCCAGUCGAUCUGCCUCAAAUAAUACCACGUGAAGCAGAGGUAAACAGUCCCCACUGAGCCUGAUCUGAAUUCCUGACCCCCAGAAUCAUGAACAAUAACUCGGUUUUUGUUUGAAGCCACUAAAUUUUAGGGUGGUUUGUUAGGUGGUAAUAGAUAACUGGGACAGCAAUUGAUUUAGGACUUAAAUCCUACCAACUAUUUUUCAAUUUUCCCCAAUUUGGAGCAAACUCUCCCCCUCAGAUAAAGAAAUAUCCUUCAAUGGUAUGAGCCUUAGAAAAACUGCCCAUGUUUCUUCCUGAUCAGAUUUCCUGGCACUAACAAAACAAUCCAUGAAGUACUAUGAGAAGUCACAAUCCAAAAAGAAAUCCUGCUGGGAUCAUCAUUUGCUCAAAUCACCUUCCCACUUACAAUUGUUUCUACUCAAUGUGAUGGUGCUUCCUUGGGUAUCUGGGACUCCUAAAGUGUGUUUUCCUACAUAAACUAAUGUAAAACUACAUAAUCACCGGGGAACCAACUCUAAAAAUGUCCAGUGCUUCUAAACAAGAAAUGAUUACCUAGCCAUGGCAGUUCUACAAGAGGACAAAUAUUGAAUGAUAACUGUUGUUCAAGAACAUGAUUACCCAGAGAAACUGAACUGGUUCCAAAAAACCUCAGAACUACGAGGGCACAAGAUGUGUUUGCCAAAGCAGCAGUCAUAGUGGAGGCAUAUCUCCUGAGAAUGGCCAGUCAGAACAACUAAACCUUCUGGCCAAGCAGGAUAUCCUCAGUGUGUGCGGCCGUUUCUCAAUAGGAAGCAUGAGAAUCAGGAACAUUGCAAAAGGGAGGGCAAGAACUCUGAAAGAUUAAUAUCCGGUAAGGUGUGAUAGGGAAACUUACGCUAGUUAGUUUGCAGUAACAACCUCAGGAGGGAAAGCUAUUUUGGUAGCCAAAUGUGGAAAGUCAACGUUAACUGAGUAAAACCAUGGGGUCAUAAAGAUAGGAAUGUGCAUGAAUUCAUGAGUCUGGUUUUCCUAAGCUUCUUUGCUCUUUCAGAAGAAAAUUUCCUCUAUUGCUCCAUGAAAUAUGAGUGUAUACGUGUUUACACUUUAAAAUAAGCCACAUUAACUCUUAAGGUCCUAUUAUUCCUAUUCCACAGCUUAAUCCAGGUAUGCAGUCCAAUAACUAUAAUUGCUUUAACAUUUCUUUAAAAGUAAACACACUACUUUUUACUUUGUGUCUGCCUACCCUUCUUCAUGGGACAAUAAAAUUGGGAAUGAAAUAUCUCCUGCAGCCUUUGACUGGCACCUGAGACCUUCCCUGGGAUCUAGCUGGGGUUAUAAAACCUUCCAUGAGUCCGAAUCAAUCUUUCAACCCAGAAAACCCAUCCAUAUGAAAUCUGUGGACAUCAGUCUACUGAUGGAUAUAAUCAAGCUGCAGAUUAAUACUAUCUUUAUUGUGAUUUGGUGGAGAGUAAUACUUGGCUUUGGAUUGCUACAUAACACCCAGGAGAGACGUUAGCCCAGAAAGAAAACUAUGGAACAGAAUCACCAAGAAAAAGCAAACCACAAAGAAAGGAGAGAAUGGUGUCAGUAAAGUUUAACCUGACAGUUACUGCUAUGAAUUCAAUGAUUUUAUUUGCAAUGAGGCAGAAAGAAAGUAUCCUUUCCCUACCAAAUACAAAAGCACGUUAUUUUGUCACUGUGGCAAAGACACAUUGAGCGACAUUCAGUUGGCAACACCCUAUUGAGGCCUCCUUGCCUUUUCCCUAGACCUCAUCAGCAGACCUGGGGUAACAAUGCCAGAUAUCAUAGGCUAUGCAUUAAAAAUCCUCAUUCGAAGCUAAAAAGAACCACUAUUGGUUUUUCUUCAAGUAAAUCUAGAAAAAAAAAUUUCACUUUCUCUUCCGGCAAGGGAAGUAGGGGAAUUCACACCAAAUCAGAGAGCCAAAGUUGAGUUCCCUGAGGUAUGACCCUUCUCUCUUGACAGGAAUAGCUGUAAGUAACUUUGGGGGUGACAGUGCAAGAUGUCCUCGUGACCUCUCCCAGGUCCUGAACAUUUCCCUCAUAGCACGUGUUUUCACUUUUCUUUGUGAUGCUCUGAUGAAGGAACACUAAUUAAGCCUACUUCUAAAGAUGCAGACGGCCCCAGCAAAGUAGGUAGGGAGGCAGGAACACCGAUUUCACCUCAGGGCUGAGCACAGAGAAUGGGAAAAGGCAGGGCUCAGGAAAUGUGUACUGAAAGCUUGAAGGUUGAACGUACAUGCGACAUCGAUCUUGUUAGGACUCCCAGGUGGGGCACCAGAGCUAGGAUAGUGAGGCCAAGGAGAAGGGCAGCUGAGGGCGGAGGAGAUGACCCUAGGGAAAUUACGACCUCAGUGACAUAGGACAAGGACAGUGGGAAGCACUGGGCAUUCAGGGAGAGGGACCUUCCAAGAUGGCACAGGGUGCAAAAGGUUGGUGGAAGGGGACCUUUCAAGGCGUGUGGGGGUCUCAGGUCAGCUUGAUUUUCUGGAAGAGGAAUGAGGGAGUACUUCUCUUCCUUCUCUUCCUCCCUCCUUCUGUGGCCAGGGGCUAAGACUCUGGUGGGAACUGUUGGCACCAAGACUUAAAUUCAUGCUGGGCUUCUUUAACUUCUUUGGCAUCUGUGGACAGGUUCUUCUAACUCAGUCACCCUUGUUAACCAUAUUACAUAGCACAUGAUAUUCUGCAAACCACUGGCUUAGAAAAACAACUUGUGGACUGCUUUUAAGGUAAGACUGUCUAUACCUCAUUGCAGGUCAACCUCUUGUGGCUACACCCAGAGUCUUGCUAAAGUCAAGCCCCCUUGGUCAGCGUAG